AACGAACGCUGGCGGCAUGCCUAACACAUGCAAGUCGAACGAGACCUUCGGGUCUAGUGGCGCACGGGUGCGUAACGCGUGGGAACCUGCCUUUAGGUUCGGGAUAACUCAGAGAAAUUUGAGCUAAUACCGGAUGAUGUCUUCGGACCAAAGAUUUAUCGCCUUUAGAUGGGCCCGCGUUGGAUAAGCUAGUUGGUGGGGUAAAGGCCUACAAAGGCGACGAUCCAUAGCUGGUCUGAGAGGAUGAUCAGCCACACUGGGACUGAGACACGGCCCAGACUCCUACGGGAGGCAGCAGUGGGGAAUAUUGGACAAUGGGCGAAAGCCUGAUCCAGCAAUGCCGCGUGAGUGAUGAAGGCCUUAGGGUUGUAAAGCUCUUUUACCCGAGAUGAUAAUGACAGUAUCGGGAGAAUAAGCUCCGGCUAACUCCGUG
rnacentral:rRNA from 1 species